GCUGAUCAGUGUUAAAGCCCUCUAGCUUAAGAAUAAGAGAUGAAAAAAAGAAUAAUAAUUAAAAUCUUGUUUCAGUUUCUAUGUAAACAGGUUGCUAGCCCUUAUGACUGUAGAGAAAUGCAUGAAAAAUUAACCCAAAUAUACCCAAGAGACUAAAGAGACAGAAGUCAAAACUGUCCUUUCCAUAAAAAUAAGUGUAAGGUUUUAGGCUCUGAGUCAUGCAUUUUUAGCAUUUUGGUCUUGGCAAUAUAUUUGACUAACUGAAGGUACUGGUCCAGACUCUGAACGUGGAAGACAAUUAGGUUGAAAAUUAGAAUGAAGAGAUAGAGUCCAUGAUUGUGAGGUAAUAAAGGAGUGCCUGUAGCAAAACCAUGACAAUGGAUUUCAAAAAAGAAACAGUUUGUCACCCUCUGGAAGCUGAAUAGGUUGAUAUGGUAGUAAUGGAAGGAUUCUCAAUAAAAAUAAAAAUAAGAAAUGGAACUGAGGGCAACAGCUAAUUUCCAUGAUGCAGAACAUAAAGAAUGAAUGUGGAAGCAAGAUAACUGACCAAGGAAGCAGAAGAGAGGCUGAAGACCUUUUUUUUUUUUUUCCUUUUGCAAAGGCAUAUAGCCACAUGAAAUCUCGUCAGAAAAUUGCAGAGAAAUAUUGUAGAUUAAACAAGCACUAAUGGGGAAGAAAACCUUUUCUCAGACGAACUUCAUCUGAUAAUUCCAACGGCCAAGAUCUCCGGGCAGUUUGUGUGGUGUUCAGCAAGAUGUCAUAUUUAUCGGAGCUAUAGAAGACAUUUAUUGCUUCAUACACUGGGAUCUCUCUUGGGAUUCCUAUUGAAAUACAUGCCAUUAAAUCACCUUCAGCAAGUUGCUGCACUGAUGUCCAUGGGGCAUCUGCCAAAAAGCAGAGGCUUAGGCUGAGUGUAAUACCAAAUGAUUUGGUUUGACUCUGACUGUGUUCAGAAAAGUUCCAAGGGGAAAAAAAAACAAAAGCAAAAGUAAAAAAAAUCUAAAGUUUAAAUUUCUUAGUCAAACUUCCAUUAACAAUUAAAUGUGUUUUAGAUAUGCAG
rnacentral:lncRNA from 1 species